rnacentral:rRNA from 1 species
AUUGCCUCAGUAACGGCGAGUGAAGCGGCAACAGCUCAAAUUUGAAAUCUGGCAGCCUCCGGGCGGCCCGAGUUGUAAUUUGAAGAGGAUGCUUUUGGCGAGGCGCCUUCCGAGUGCCCUGGGACGGGACGCCACAGAGGGUGAGAGCCCCGUAUGGUUGGACGCCGAGCCUCUGUAAAGCUCCUUCGACGAGUCGAGUAGUUUGGGAAUGCUGCUCAAAAUGGGAGGUAAACCCCUUCUAAAGCUAAAUACUGGCCAGAGACCGAUAGCGCACAAGUAGAGUGAUCGAAAGAUGAAAAGCACUUUGAAAAGAGAGUUAAAUAGCACGUGAAAUUGUUGAAAGGGAAGCGCUUGCGACCAGACUUGUGCCCGUCGAAUCAGCCGCCGCUCGUCGGCGGCGCACUUCGGCGGGCUCAGGCCAGCAUCAGUUCGCCUCGGGGGAGAAAGGCGGUGGGAAUGUGGCUCUUCGGAGUGUUAUAGCCCGCCGCGCAAUACCCCUAGGCGGACUGAGGACCGCGCAUCUUUGCAAGGAUGCU